UGGAACCAACAGCGGAGGUGGUGUUCGGACUUCCGAGGAUGAAGCUGCCCUCCCGAGCCCGUGUCCCUGCUCUGCUUAAACGACAUGGGUUCAGCAGGAACAUCUCGCGUGACUAGUGUUACGUGAUUUUGGCGGGAACAUGUCACGUGGCUAGCGUUACGCAAUUUUAUGUCACGUUCCCUGCUCUUCCUUUUCCCUU
rnacentral:lncRNA from 1 species